rnacentral:rRNA from 1 species
UACGAAGGGGGCUAGCGUUGCUCGGAAUUACUGGGCGUAAAGGGCGCGUAGGCGGACAGUUUAGUCAGAGGUAAAAGCCCAGGGCUCAACCUUGGAACUGCCUUUGAUACUGACUGUCUUGAGUUCGGGAGAGGUGAGUGGAAUGCCGAGUGUAGAGGUGAAAUUCGUAGAUAUUCGGCGGAACACCAGUGGCGAAGGCAGCUCGCUGGGACGGUACUGACGCUAAGGCGCGAAAGCGUGGGGAGCGAACAGG